rnacentral:tRNA from 1 species
UGCUCUGUGGCUUAGUUGGUUGGAGCGACGGACUUGUAAUACGAAGUCAUGGGUUCGAAUCCCACCAAAACAA